rnacentral:rRNA from 1 species
AUUGAACGCUGGCGGCAUGCUUUACACAUGCAAGUCGAACGGUAACAGGCCGCAAGGUGCUGACGAGUGGCGAACGGGUGAGUAAUGCGUCGGAACGUGCCCAGUCGUGGGGGAUAACGCAGCGAAAGCUGUGCUAAUACGGCAUACGAUCUAUGGAUGAAAGCGGGGGACCGUAAGGCCUCGCGCGAUUGGAGCGGCCGAUGUCAGAUUAGCUAGUUGGUGGGGUAAAGGCCCACCAAGGCGACGAUCUGUAGCUGGUCUGAGAGGACGACCAGCCACACUGGGACUGAGACACGGCCCAGACUCCUACGGGAGGCAGCAGUGGGGAAUUUUGGACAAUGGGCGCAAGCCUGAUCCAGCAAUGCCGCGUGCAGGAAGAAGGCCUUCGGGUUGUAAACUGCUUUUGUACGGAACGAAACGGUCUGGGUUAAUACCCUGGGCUAAUGACGGUACCGUAAGAAUAAGCACCGGCUAACUACGUGCCAGCCGCCGCAGUAC